UACGUAGGGGGCAAGCGUUGUCCGGAUUUAUUGGGCGUAAAGAGCGUGUAGGCGGCCAGGUAGGUCAGCUGUGAAAACUCGAGGCUCAACCUCGAGACGUCGGUUGAAACCGCUUGGCUAGAGUCCGGAAGAGGAGAGUGGAAUUCCCGGUGUAGCGGUGAAAUGCGCAGAUAUCGGGAAGAACACCCGUGGCGAAGGCGGCUCUCUGGGACGGUACUGACGCUGAGACGCGAAAGCGUGGGGAGCGAACAGG
rnacentral:rRNA from 1 species